GACGAACGCUGGCGGCGUGCUUAACACAUGCAAGUCGAGCGGAGCGGCGAACGGGCGAGUAACGCGUGAGUAACUGCCCCCCUCCCUGGGAUAACAGUUGGCAACGGCUGCCAAUACCGGAUAGUGGGGGAUGACUCGCGUCCUAUCAGCUUGUUUGGGGGGUAGUGGCCUACCAAGGCGACGACGGGUAGCCGGCCUGGGAGGGCGGACGGCCACAAUGGGCUGAGAGACGGCGCAAACUCCUACGGGGGGCAACAGUGGGGAAUAUUGCGCAGUGGGGGAAACCCUGAUGCAGCAGCGCCGCGGGCGGAAUGUCGGCCUUCGGGUUGUAAACCGCUUUCAGCCAUGACGCGGUAGUGGCAGAAGAAGCACCGGCUAACUACGUGCCAGCCGCCGCGGUAAUAC
rnacentral:rRNA from 1 species